rnacentral:sRNA from 1 species
AGUUCCUGGGAGAAGCCGGGCUGCCUCAUGAGGCACUGGGAACUACAUUUCCCGGAAAGUACUAAAUUUAAGAAUGUUUGGACAACUCAUUCCAGGUCACCUAUAGCCUAUGAGAGAGGAAGAAUAUAUUUUGACAAUUAUCGGCGCUGUGUCAGCAGUGUUGCAUCUGAGCCAAGAAAACUUUAUGAAAUGCCAAAAUGUUCCAAAUCAGAAAAAAUAGAGGAUGCUUUAUUAUGGGAAUGCCCAGUGGGAGAUAUACUUCCCAAUUCAUCAGAUUAUAAGUCCUCACUCAUAGCACUGACUGCUCAUAAUUGGCUACUUCGUGUAUCAGCAACUACGGGAAAAAUCCUUGAGAAAAUAUAUCUUGCACCUUAUUGCAAAUUCAGAUACUUGAGCUGGGACACUCCUCAAGAAGUCAUUGCAGUUAAGUCAGCUCAGAACAGAGGCUCAGCAGUGGCCCGGCAGGCAGGCAUUCAACAUGUUUUGCUGUACCUUGCAGUGUUCCGAGUUCUACCUUUUUCACUUGUAGGGAUUCUAGAGAUCAACAAAAAGAUUUUUGGGAACGUUACAGAUGCUACCUUGUCUCAUGGAAUACUGAUUGUGAUGUACAGCUCAGGACUGGUCAGACUCUAUAGCUUCCAAACCAUCGCUGAACAGACAUGCCACCACUGCUCUUUGAGGUGUCAUCCCUGGAGAAUGCUUUUCAGAUUGGAGGCCAUCCUUGGCACUACAUCAUCACACCUAAUAAGAAGAAACAGAAAGGAGUUUUCCAUAUUUGUGCCCUAAAAAACAAUUCCCUGGCAAAAAAUGGGAUCCAAGAAAUGGACUGUUGUUCUCUAGAAUCUGACUGGAUCUAUUUCCAUCCUGAUGCUUCUGGUAGAAUAAUACAUGUUGGUCCAAAUCAAGUCAAAGUUUUGAAGCUAACUGAAAUAGAAAAUAAUAGUUCUCAACAUCAGAUCUCUGAAGAUUUUGUCAUUUUGGCCAACAGGGAGAACAAUAAAAAUGAAAAUGUACUCACUGUUACAGCUUCUGGACGGGUGGUAAAAAAAAGUUUUAACCUUCUGGAUGAUGACCCAGAACAAGAGACUUUCAAAAUUGUGGACUAUGAAGAUGAGUUAGAUUUGCUUUCUGUGGUAGCUGUUACUCAAAUAGAUGCUGAAGGAAAAGCUCACCUGGAUUUCCACUGUAAUGAAUAUGGAACUUUACUUAAAAGCAUUCCACUAGUGGAGUCAUGGGAUGUGACAUAUAGCCAUGAAGUCUACUUUGACAGGGACUUGGUGCUACACAUAGAGCAGAAACCCAACAGAGUCUUCAGCUGCUAUGUUUACCAGAUGGUAUGUGACACUGGGGAAGAAGAAGAAACCAUAAACAGAAGCUGUUAAAAAGAAUGAGAUAAUUGUAACCUAAGAGACUUUUAGCCAAACACCCCAGCAGCUGCGUCCAAUCCUUUUUAUUAUCUGCAUGGCACAUUCUCCAGUAUUUUCCAAAAAAGUCUUGUGUUGACUUCAGAUGACUAUGACUUCUUUUUUAAACUCUUGCUGUAAAAGAUGGUGAGGACUUCAUUUUUUGUAAAGGUUUUUUAGAAUACUGUUCCAAGAAGUUUAGUGUUUUGCAGCUUUGAGCUAGGUGGUAAUGCAAAUAUAAAAUGCUGGGAACAGAAAAGGACAGGUUAAUUCCAAUUGUUGAGGAGUAAGUCAUUGAUGGGAUGGGUCAUUGAUGGGUUCUUAAAGGAUGGUAUGGAAUUUUGUUUGUUAAGGCUGGGAAAGACAGGGAGAGACAAAAGUAAACAUGCAGAAAGAAAUCUUAUAUCCUCUAUACCAAACUUUGCUUAAGGAUGAGAAAUGAGAUGUGUUAUGUGAGAACAUUAUUUUGAGCCCAAAAUGUGUCAUCACAGUUUUUAAAAAUCUUAUAUAUGUAUUUAUAUGUGUUUUGUAUUUGUAUAUAGUAUCAGGAAUUGGUUCUAGUUCCCAAAUUAUCUUUUCUUCCUUGGUUUUGUUCUCCUGGCUUGAUGUUCACAUUGAAUAUUUGUGUUUCUAUAUAGACUAAUGUAAGAGAUUCCAAGCAAACCUUAAGUGAAAUUGUUUUCUGAUUUGCAUCCUGUUUAGCUCUUAAUGUAUCUAAGGAUGUUCUCAUCUCACCAUUCUAUUCAUUUAGUGAGUUUUCUGAUCUUGUUUAGGCAAUAUUUUCAUACUUAUGCAAUAAGAUAAAGGUACCCUUGCCUGCACUAGUUCUGUUUCCUGUAGAAGAGUAGAUAAAGAGUCCCAGAAGAAGUUCUUACUAGCUUGGGAGUUGCCUGAUUAACCAGAGAAAAUGUUUGGCUUACUUAUGAAACAAGCAUUAUUUCUUCUUUGUUAGGAAAGAUCUAAAUAUGAUCCUUGAACUUUAACAAUCAUUCUUUAGAAAGUUAAAUAAAGGCAACCCAAGU